rnacentral:rRNA from 1 species
AUUGAACGCUAGCGGGAUGCUUAACACAUGCAAGUCGAACGAGUGGCGGACGGGUGAGUAAUGUCUGGGAACUUGCCCGAUAGCGGGGGAUAACUACUGGAAAGGGUGGCUAAUACCGCAUACCAUUCGAUGGGCCCAGAUGGGAUUAGCUAGUUGGUGGGGUAAAGGCUCACAAAGGCGACGAUCCCUAGCUGGUUUGAGAGGAGGACCAGCCACACUGGGACUGAGACACGGUCCAGACUCCUACGGGAGGCAGCAGUGGGGAAUAUUGGACAAUGGGCGAAAGCCUGAUGCAGCCAUGCCGCGUGUAUGAUGAAGGCCUUCGGGUUGUAAAGUACUUUCGGCAGAGAAGCGGUACCUGCAGAAUAAGCACCGGCUAACUACGUGCCAGCAGCCGCGGUAAUAC